rnacentral:rRNA from 1 species
UACGGAGGAUCCGAGCGUUAUCCGGAUUUAUUGGGUUUAAAGGGUGCGCAGGCGGGAGAUUAAGUCGGCGGUGAAAUUUUGCAGCUCAACUGUAAAAGUGCCUUCGAAACUGGUUUCCUUGAGUGUGGAUGAAGUAGGCGGAAUUUGUGGUGUAGCGGUGAAAUGCAUAGAUAUCACGAGGAACUCCGAUUGCGCAGGCAGCUUACUAAGCCAUAACUGACGCUCAGGCACGAAGGCGUGGGGAUCGAACAGGAUUAGAUACCCUU